rnacentral:rRNA from 1 species
AGUCGAGCGGAGUUUUGAAAGCUUGCUUUUCAAACUUAGCGGCGGACGGGUGAGUAACACGUGGGCAACCUGCCCUUGAGACGGGGAUAACUCCGGGAAACCGGAGCUAAUACCGGAUAACACAUAUCUUCGCAUGAGGAUAUGUUAGAAGGUGGCUUUUAGCUACCACUCAAGGAUGGGCCCGCGGCGCAUUAGCUAGUUGGUGAGGUAACGGCUCACCAAGGCGACGAUGCGUAGCCGACCUGAGAGGGUGAUCGGCCACACUGGGACUGAGACACGGCCCAGACUCCUACGGGAGGCAGCAGUAGGGAAUCUUCCGCAAUGGACGAAAGUCUGACGGAGCAACGCCGCGUGAGUGAUGAAGGUUUUCGGAUCGUAAAGCUCUGUUGUUAGGGAAGAACAAGUACCUGUUGAAUAAGCAGGUACCUUGACGGUACCUAACCAGAAAGCCACGGCUAACUACGUGCCAGCAGCCGCGGUAAUACGUAGGUGGCAAGCGUUGUCCGGAAUUAUUGGGCGUAAAGCGCGCGCAGGCGGUUCCUUAAGUCUGAUGUGAAAGCCCACGGCUCAACCGUGGAGGGUCAUUGGAAACUGGGGAACUUGAGUGCAGAAGAGGAGAGCGGAAUUCCACGUGUAGCGGUGAAAUGCGUAGAGAUGUGGAGGAACACCAGUGGCGAAGGCGGCUCUCUGGUCUGUAACUGACGCUGAGGCGCGAAAGCGUGGGGAGCGAACAGGAUUAGAUACCCUGGUAGUCCACGCCGU